rnacentral:rRNA from 1 species
GAUGAACGCUGGCGGCGUGCUUAACACAUGCAAGUCGAGCGAAGCGGUUUUAAGGAAGCCUUCGGGUGAAAUUAAAAUUGACUUAGCGGCGGACGGGUGAGUAACGCGUGGGUAACCUGCCUCAUACAAGGGGAUAACAGUUAGAAAUGACUGCUAAUACCGCAUAAGCGCACAGUGCUGCAUAGCACAGUGUGAAAAACUCCGGUGGUAUGAGAUGGACCCGCGUCUGAUUAGGUAGUUGGUGAGGUAACGGCCCACCAAGCCGACGAUCAGUAGCCGACCUGAGAGGGUGACCGGCCACAUUGGGACUGAGACACGGCCCAAACACCUACGGGUGGCAG